rnacentral:rRNA from 1 species
UGGGGAAUUUUGGACAAUGGGCGAAAGCCUGAUCCAGCAAUGCCGCGUGUGUGAAGAAGGCCUUCGGGUUGUAAAGCACUUUUGUCCGGAAAGAAAUCCUUGGCUCUAAUACAGUCGGGGGGAUGACGGUACCGGAAGAAUAAGCACCGGCUAACUACGUGCCAGCAGCCGCGGUAAUACGUAGGGUGCAAGCGUUAAUCGGAAUUACUGGGCGUAAAGCGUGCGCAGGCGGUUUGCUAAGACCGAUGUGAAAUCCCCGGGCUCAACCUGGGAACUGCAUUGGUGACUGGCAGGCUAGAGUAUGGCAGAGGGGGGUAGAAUUCCACGUGUAGCAGUGAAAUGCGUAGAGAUGUGGAGGAAUACCGAUGGCGAAGGCAGCCCCCUGGGCCAAUACUGACGCUCAUGCACGAAAGCGUGGGGAGCAAACAGGAUUAGAUACCCUGGUAGUCCACGCCCUAAACGAUGUCAACUAGUUGUUGGGGAUUCAUUUCCUUAGUAACGUAGCUAACGCGUGAAGUUGACCGCCUGGGGAAGUACGGUCGCAAGAUUAAAACUCAAAGGAAUUGACGGGGUCAUAGCUGUUUCCU